rnacentral:rRNA from 1 species
GGUAGUCCACGCCGUAAACGAUGUCGACUUGGAGGUUGUGCCCUUGAGGCGUGGCUUCCGGAGCUAACGCGUUAAGUCGACCGCCUGGGGAGUACGGCCGCAAGGUUAAAACUCAAAUGAAUUGACGGGGGCCCGCACAAGCGGUGGAGCAUGUGGUUUAAUUCGAUGCAACGCGAAGAACCUUACCUACUCUUGACAUCCAGAGAACUUAGCAGAGAUGCUUUGGUGCCUUCGGGAACUCUGAGACAGGUGCUGCAUGGCUGUCGUCAGCUCGUGUUGUGAAAUGUUGGGUUAAGUCCCGCAACGAGCGCAACCCUUAUCCCUUGUUGCCAGCGGUUAGGCCGGGAACUCAAAGGAGACUGCCAGUGAUAAACUGGAGGAAGGUGGGGAUGACGUCAAGUCAUCAUGGCCCUUACGAGUAGGGCUACACACGUGCUACAAUGGCGCAUACAAAGAGAAGCGACCUCGCGAGAGCAAGCGGACCUCAUAAAGUGCGUCGUAGUCCGGAUUGGAGUCUGCAACUCGACUCCAUGAAGUCGGAAUCGCUAGUAAUCGUAGAUCAGAAUGCUACGGUGAAUACGUUCCCGGGCCUUGUACACACCGCCCGUCACACCAUGGGAGUGGGUUGCAAAAGAAGUAGGUAGCUUAACCUUCGGGAGGGCGCUUACCACUUUGUGAUUCAUGACUGGGGUGAAGUCGUAACAAGGUAACCGUAGGGGAACCUGC